GAGGAUGUAGUUCAGUGGUAGAGCACAUACUUAGCCUGCUCUAGGUUCUGGGUUCAAUCCCCAGUAUUUCCA
rnacentral:tRNA from 1 species